CCCGAGACCAGAGCUCCCAGCUGAACUAUUGCUGUGCAUUAAGAGCUGUGUCAACAGCUUUCUGGGUUUUACACCAAGCCCACCACAGGUGUCUGCUUCACGAAGCUUCAUAGGGAUAACAAGGCCUGAGACACCUGGAGAGGAUUGUUCUGGGAUGGAGCAGUGGAGCUCUGGGAAUCCCAGGGCUGUACCUACCCCAAAACCUCAUCCACAAAUACCUCAUCCACGUGUUGAAGGCAGCAAGAAGGAUUGUCACACCAACGUUGUUGCUCUUUGUGGGACAGCCACAGCAUCGUAGUGACCAGAGAGCCUCCUGGAAGCCAGCAGGAGAGGGAGCAGUGGGUGUGAUGUGAAGGAGUGCUGGAGAGCAGCCCUGUCAUGCUGAGCUCUCAGGAUAUGUUUGGGUAAUCCUAAAAGACUGCUUGGAGAAGCAGAAAGACACAGGGAGAAGAAGAAAGCAGGAGGCUGGCACAGCCGGCUCUGGAAAUGAUCAGAGGUAAAAAGCUCUCACAGAGGAAAAGCAGAUUCUUGAAGGGAGAGGAAUGUAGAAAAGUAAACUAGACAUGGUGAGGAGGAAAAAAAGAAAUGUGCUCUGUGAUGUCAGUUUUGGAAGACUCUAGGUUUUGUUUGUACUUGCGGGCUUUCAAAACUUGCUUUGCUGUCUCUCUGCGGCAAGGGAUUUGCUGAAGUGAC
rnacentral:lncRNA from 1 species